AUUGAACGCUGGCGGCAUGCCUUACACAUGCAAGUCGAACGGUAACAGGUCUUCGGAUGCUGACGAGUGGCGAACGGGUGAGUAAUACAUCGGAACGUGCCCGAGAGUGGGGGAUAACGAGGCGAAAGCUUUGCUAAUACCGCAUACGAUCUCAGGAUGAAAGCAGGGGACCGCAAGGCCUUGCGCUCACGGAGCGGCCGAUGGCAGAUUAGGUAGUUGGUGGGAUAAAAGCUUACCAAGCCGACGAUCUGUAGCUGGUCUGAGAGGACGACCAGCCCCACUGGGACUGAGACACGGCCCAGACUCCUACGGGAGGCAGCAGUGGGGAAUUUUGGACAAUGGGCGCAAGCCUGAUCCAGCCAUGCCGCGUGCAGGAUGAAGGCCUUCGGGUUGUGAACUGCUUUUGUACGGAACGAAAAGACUCUGGUUAAUACCUGGGGUCCAUGACGGUACCGUAAGAAUAAGCACCGGCUAACUACGUGCCAGCCGCCGCCGUAAUAC
rnacentral:rRNA from 1 species